GACGAACGCUGGCGGCGUGCUUAACACAUGCAAGUCGAACGGAAAGGCCCUGCUUUUGUGGGGUGCUCGAGUGGCGAACGGGUGAGUAACACGUGAGUAACCUGCCCUUGACUUUGGGAUAACUUCAGGAAACUGGGGCUAAUACCGGAUAGGAGCUCCCGCUGCAUGGUGGGGGCUGGAAAGUUUCGGCGGUUGGGGAUGGACUCGCGGCUUAUCAGCUUGUUGGUGGGGUAGUGGCUUACCAAGGCUGUGACGGGUAGCCGGCCUGAGAGGGUGACCGGCCACAUUGGGACUGAGAUACGGCCCAGACUCCUACGGGAGGCAGCAGUGGGGAAUAUUGCACAAUGGGCGGAAGCCUGAUGCAGCAACGCCGCGUGCGGGAUGACGGCCUUCGGGUUGUAAACCGCUUUCGCCUGUGACGAAGCGUGAGUGACGGUAAUGGGUAAAGAAGCACCGGCUAACUACGUG
rnacentral:rRNA from 1 species